rnacentral:rRNA from 1 species
GACGUAGGUGGCGAACGUUAUCCGGAAUUAUUGGGCGUAAAGGGUGCGUAGAUGGCCUGAUAAGUUAGCAGUGGGAAAUCGAGGCUCAACCUCGUGGAAGCUGGUAAUACUGUCAAGCUCGAGUGCAGGAGAAGUUAACGGAACUCCAUGUGGAGCGGUAAAAUGUGUAGAUAUAUGGAAGAGCACCAAUAACGGCGAAGGCAGUUAACUAUUCUGUUACUGACAUUGAGGCACGAAAGCGUGGGGAGCAAAACGG